rnacentral:lncRNA from 1 species
UGCUUUUUUCCCCCUCCUUGGAAAGUUCUUGCUUUUGGUUAUCCUCGUUAUUCUUUAAUUAAAAAUCUAAUUGGUUUUGUGCGAGGGCGUUGUGUGUUUCUUGGGGUCAGAGUGCAGCUUGUAGGAGUUGGCUCUCUUGUCACCGUGCCAGUCUCAGGGAACAAACUCAGGUCAUCAGGCUGGGUGACAGUGUCUCUACUCCUUGAGUCACCUCACUAGCCUUUUCUUGUUAUUGUUCAUAUACAGGAGCCAGCAUAAUGCACAACUUAUACGACAUCAUCUUAUAUGGAGCUUGGAGGAUUCCCAGGCCUUUGAAGGCUAGGAUCUUACUGAGGCCAGCCAGGAGGGAUCCUAGCUCUGUGCCGUUAAGUCGGUGGGGAUUCACAGACCAUGAGAAGCUCCUCUGAGGUCCGCCAGCGGGGACCCUCGUUGUGGGAUGUAACCCCUUUCUGGGUUAAUCAUAUCCUGAUGUAUGUCAAGGCUUUCCCACUAUAAUUGGAGGUAGAAACUGAGCUUGCACUGCGACGGCUGGGCUCAGAUGAGGUCGGCUUGCUGAUUGCUGAUGCCUUCCUUGUAAGACAGAGAACAGAGAAGCAAGCGACUCUGGGGUUGCUCAAGAUUAAAAAAAAA